AUGCUGCUUGGCCUGCUGUGUUCAUCCAGCUCUAAACCUUGUUAUCCCUGAUAAGAACAGCAGUUGCUGGGUAGCUCUUUCGAGAGCCAGUACAUGAUGGGCCAAAUGGCCUCCUUUUGAACCAUAAAAUUUGAUGAUUUCAUUAUUGUAAGGAUGUUUUUUAUUCAUUCAUGCGAAUGUUAGUGUUGUUGGCAAGGUCAGUAUUUGUUAUGCAUCCCUAAUUAGCAUUGAGCGGUGUUGAGCUGCUGUAUAAUUUAGUAAUAUUAUAAAAUUUUGGGUUUGGUACAUUAUUUUAAUUUCGUUCUUAUUAGGUGAGAAUUGUUGUGUUCUGAUGUUGUUUAAGCCCUCGAAAUUUUCAAAGAACUAGUCAUUGAGCUUAUGUCUGAAAAUAUAUUGGAUGGCCUAGAUUUUGUGAUUAGCAUAAAGCAAACAGUGUUAGUCUUUCAUUACAUUUGGCCACAGAUUCUCUCAGGGCUUUUGUACAGUUUCUUGCGGUAUUUUGAAAGCUAUUUUGGUGCAGUGCCCUCAACUGAGAUUUGGGACCUGUCUGAACUGGACAAAGAAUUGUGCAUCUAAUUAACCAAUGGGAUUUGUGGAUCCUCGCUGGAGCAUAUAUUCCUAUCCAGGAAGUGUAGAUUAGAACAGUUAAUUAAAUACUAAUUAAUGUGCAAGGAAGAAGUAUAUUUAGAGAGAUGAGGUAGAAAAGAAAGGGUUUUGUUUUUAAAUUCACAAUAACAAGUAAAAUUUGAAGGAAUGAGAACUCCACAUAUACAGAAAUUAAUUUUCAAACCUGGUAGGCUGUUUGGCAUUAGUUAAGACUUAUUUAAGCCAUUUAACAAAAAAACUUACACUCAAAUGGUCAAACUCUUAGCUUUAUAAAAUGAGUUCAAUGGGUAUAUAACCUAAAUUCUGUGUGUUUCAGUGGUAAGUCUUUGUUGUAAUUUAUUAUUGUACUUUAAGCCUAUAGAUGAACAGGGCAGCUUGGACAGCUGAUUCUGAUUUUUUUUGACUUUUGCAUUUAAUUGUGUGUAUGUGAAGUUGCAGUCCAAUUUAUGCUUCAAUAAUAGUGCUCUUAGCAUAUUUCUACCUCCAAAUUGAUGCAUUACAGAGUUUUCUUCAGAGAGUCUUGAAUGUGAUGCAUAUCUUUACAUUCACUGCAAUAAAAUUGGCAAGGGUAUGAGGAGUAAAUAAAUAGAAAUGUAGGAGGAGAGUAGGCUAUUUGACCCUUUUGAACUUGCUUCAACAUUCAAUAAGAUCUUAGCUGAUCUGGUUUUGGCCUCAUCUCCACUUUCCUCUCUGCACCCAAUAACCCUUGACUCCCUAAUUAAUCCAAAAUUUAUCUGUCAUGAGUAAAUGUGAAAGACUUAGUUUAUACUGUCAUCAAGGGAGACAAAAUUCCACAAUCUUAAUGAUCCUUGGUUGGAAAAAUUCUCUUCAUCUCUAUCUUAAAAGAAAGACUGUUUCUUUUUUUCUUUUUAAACUGUGUCAUCCAUUCUAGCAACCAUCUUGUUGAAAUCCACCUUUGCAAGAUCUAAGAUCACCUCACAUAGUUAUAAACAAUGGAUAUAUGCCUAAAUAAAAUACUAAUGAUUCCAUUAGAAUUAUUAACAACUAGGCUAUCGCUAGUUACUGAAAGAUGACCCUGCUAAAUACAAGAACCAUGAUCCCUUACAAGAAUCAGCAUCUGAAAUCGUAUUUCAUAGAGAAAUUGGUGGAAAAAAGAAAAGCUGGAAAACAUGAAAUGUGAACAUAGCAACACAGACCUGUACCACUCCCUUCCUAACAGCACUGUGGUUGACCUGACCCCUGAUGGAUUGCAACAGUUCAAGAAAUGAGCUCACCACUGCCUUCUCUAGGAGAAUUGGUGAUGGGCAAUAAAUGCUGGCCAAGCCAGCAACACCCGCAUUCUAUGAAAAAAAAAUUUUGAAAAUGUAGUCUGGCUGAAAUAUGUAGUUGAGCAAACUGUCCAGACACGGCUCCCUCUCUGUUACAGUGUCAUUGUUUUAAACUUACACUCCAGCAGUUCUGAUGAAGAGUCAUAUCAGACUCAAAAUGUUAAUUGUUUCUUUCUUCAUAGAUGUUGCCCAGACGUGCUGAAUUUCUGCAGCAUUUCAAUUUAUUGUUUUGCACUCCACCUCAUUGACCUCGAACCAGAACAAAAGGAAGAGGCAGCCCACAGUUGGGCAGAACGGGCCUAGAGGGAUGCUUAUCAUCAAUCUCCUCACCCACCAUGGGGAGAAAAUUCUACCCCUUGCAAGAGAAGAUUGGGACAACAUAUCUGCAAGCAGAGAUUUUCAUGGUCCUGGUAGAGAAAGGAGUCACUCUGCCAGAAACCACCACCUUGAUCUAUGAGGAAGAGAUUUGAGAUCUUGGAAGAAGAAUUAGCAAGGCAGCUUAUCCCUAACACUUAUCCCCUAACCAGCUCAUACUGACAACUCAGUGGGAAUGUCAUGUUUAAAAUGUCUGGGAGCACAAGUUGUCAUGCACCGCACUGCAUCAACUCCUCAGCAUGCUGAGGAAGAUGCACCCCAGGCCAUUGGGAAUUCCAAUCACUAGCAUAAUGAGGAAGAGGAGCAGCAGACAGAUUUGUGGUUGGUGAUGGCAAGAGGUUGCAGAAUUUCAGCUAUGCUGUGGAAAUCCAGCUGCUUCAAACUUGUGUUCUCUGGCUGCAUCCAUGAGCAGGUUAGCAGCUGCCAUGGAGAGUCAGUUCCAAACCCAAAGUGUCUGCUGGAGAGUGCGCACACCAGUGUUGCAUUGUCCUGGUCAUUGGUCAUCAGGCAACAGGAGGAUUGGAGCUUGGCUCACAUUUCAGGUGCCUCUUCUUCAGAACGAAACAGAAUUUUGCCAGGAGGACCCAGUCAACAGUGGAACUACACAUUUGCCCUAAGAGUCGCCUCAAGAGCACUCCAUAUUUGGUCAUGCCCUCCACCUCCACCCUGCCUCACUCUUCCCCAAUGCAUAAGAAUUCAAGCUGAUGAGGAUCUCUUUGCUUCUGGCAAGCCUGGGCAAUUGGGCACAAACACGCUCCAGGUUAUCUGGUGAAACCUCCAAGGCCAUUGGGCUUCACUGCUGGAGUGUAGACGGGAAAUGGAGCUGAGACCACAUCAGAUCAGUCAUGAUCUUACUAAAGGCUCAAAGUACAAAACACACAAAGUACACCUUCCUUCAGCAGAACUCAACAGUUCUGGCAGUAUCUGGUGAGAGAAACAUAGUUAAUGUUUACUGUCCAGUGAGCCAUCAUCACCCAAUCCCCUAAUCAGAGGCAUUCUGAUUACUUCCCUCAGCUGAACUCAGCAGGUCUGUGAUUUCUGCUUCACAGAUGAUAUGAGUUCAUGGUUUGGGUCUAGUUCUGAAGAAAGGUCACCAGACCCAAAACAUUAACUCGGCCGUUCUUUUGGUUUUUAAUUUAGCAUUAGAUUUAAAUAACCUGACCACAAUAAAGAGGAAUUCUAGGUGCCAUCUAAUUGAAGAGCACUUUUGAGACAUGUACUCAACCAUUAGACCGGUUGGCAAUGCCAUGUGCUCUCCCUUUUCAAGACUGAAGAUCCACCAGAAAGUUCACUACUCUCAUUCAUUUCAAAGGCUUGAUCACAAUCAAAAUGACCACCCGUUCCACCACUCUCCAUUUGACAUAUUUGGUCUUUUAUCCGCAAAGUACAGUAAUCAGAAAAAUGACAACCGGCAAAUAUGAAACUUUUGUGUACUGAUAUUUAACCUUAAGUGGUUUCUUUUUGAUUUCAAAUCAAUCUGUUCAGAGAAGAUAUUACACACCUCUGGAGCCAGUGGGACUUCAACUGGGCCUCUGUCCAGGACUAGGGACAAUACUACUGUGCCACAAGAACCUUAAUAGCUAUCCUACUGAGCCGUAGCUGCAAAGUGCAGCCUCGGUGGUAGGUGAAUUGGAUGGCUGCUGAGAUUCUGAAUAUAAUGGCUUUAAAGUCUUCUUAAAUCUAAAAGGUUUUGGGUCCUGAUGGUCCUGCCUUAGGCUGAAUCAUCUCAGCAUAGAUUGAGCAGUCUGGAAAAAUAGCUUACCGAGCAAGGCAGUGAUCAGUUGUUGGGGAGGAAAAAAAAAUGCUGACGUUCAGAGAUAAAUCAGAGGGUUCCAGCUCUGUGAUUCUUGCCACACUAACGUCAAGGAUUGGGUUCUGCCAACUCAAGGAUCAGAAAAUUGUCACAGUAGUUGCAUAAGUUUCCAUUUCUGUACCUCAUUGUUCCGUAGAAAUUGUGUGACUUUGCAAUGCAGAGUAAAGUUCUGAUCUCGCUCCACAGAUCUUUUUUUAACCUGGAAUUGUCCAGCCUCUUCUGUAUAGAGAUGAUGGUUGCAGGCUGUGUGAAAUCACAACCCAAGGCAAAAGUGCACUCUUACAUCCUUAGCCAGAACCCAUAAUCAUUGAAGCAGAUUAUCCACUAAACCAAGUGUUUGAUCAUCUCCCGCAUUAUCGUGCUUCUGAAAUUUGUUUCUGUGGUUUCCUCCCACAUUUGACUUCUGCAUAGAAUUGGUUUGCAACCUUGUCCCCUCUAGCCCAGAAAGGUUCUAAUCUAUGGUCUCUCUUCCAACUAGCUAUUGCUGCUCACAUGUGCUGUAUGCAUCACUGUGCCCACCUGUUACCUGUUUGUACAAUUCACCAAAUGACCCGACUUCCUCACUCUCCUUGGGACUUUUUAGUUCUUAUGUCAGAAAAGAAUACUGUCUUCAUGGUUUCCCUCUUCAACAACACACGAAUGGAACCUAUUGAUUAUGUUUGGAGACAGCACUCAGUAUUUGCUUUUUUUCAUUUAAUGUUUUUUAGUGAAAUAUAUUACCUACGAAAAUGCAACUUUACCGCAGAAAUGUUACAAUUGAUGAACCUCAAACAACAAGACUUAAUUUUCAAAUUAUUAAAAUAGACUGUUCCUCAGUUAGAAUACAACUAUACCUCCCUCAGCCCCCUUCUAAAAUUGGAACUUGCAGUUAUUCAUCUCAUAACCAUCUACAGAAUGUCACUGUGUGCAAUUAGGUUGUUGUGCAUUUUUACAUAACAGCCAUUGCUUUUCUUGAUAGUAUAGUGAAGUGAAGUGAUUAUGCAUAAUAAAUACCAUUUUCUUAUCACCUGAACAAUUAUAUCUGUAUUGUAGUUCUUAACGUAUGAUAUUUUUUCACCACUGGAAAGUUUGAACAUCUCUAUUUGAGGCGCAUUAAAAUCAAAUCUCUUGUGCAAAUUUUAUUAUUUAUAUUGGUUGUUUCUAAAACCUGUGAAUACAAAUUGUUGGUGAAGUAGUUUUUCUUAUGUAUCUUUAUGGGAGAAGACUUCAGAUCUUAAAACUAUUAUAUUAAAAAUAACAACUUGUAUUGGAAAAUUUGACCUUCUGUAAGCCGUUCACAAGAACGGUGCUAAUUAGAUUUUAUCAAAGAAAAAUGAGAUGCUUGAUAUACUCAGCUGCUGUUUACUUAACAAUUCUAAUU